rnacentral:tRNA from 1 species
GGCCGAGUGGCGAAAUGGCAGACGCACGGGACUUAAAAUCCUGUGGGCCGAUAGGCCCGUGCGGGUUCGAAUCCCGCCUCGGCCA